GAUAUUGUAAAUGAUACAAUACUUAAUCCAAUAGAGAUAAAGCGUUUUGGAAGACCAAGAAGUAAUACAUAUAAGAGUACAAGGAAAUACAGCAAGAAGAGAAUUAUAGCUAGUACUGACGUGAAUGCAUGUAAUGAACAAGAUGAACCUGUAUCUGUUGAUGUACCAGCACCCAAAAAGCGAGGUAGACCACCGGGAAGCAAAAAUAAAAAUAAGGAAAUUACCAAUCUGAAUGCAGACAGAAAUGUGCAGGUUGUGCCGCAACAAGAAUCUACUAAAAUAUCACCACCAUUUCAUAUGUAUCAACCUAAUGAAUUUGUACCACAAGCUCCUACUUAUCAAGCUAAUGGAGUAGCACCACAAGUGCAUAUGUACCAACCUUUGGGAAUUCUAUAGGCAUCCAUAUCCUCACCAUGUUGGACUGCCAAUGGAUCCAACUGCAAUGAGUUAUUUUCAUUUGCAAGGGUCACCAUCAGGGUUUCCGCCUAGAACACCUAACACGCAGAUGUUUGGAGGGUCGUAAUGAAGUCCGUCUUUUGGCACUAAACUACUUUAGCAGAACUUUUUUUGUAAAUGUGCAUUUUUUGUAAGCUCUAAAUGUAGCUUUUUUGAAAUCGCUAAAUGUGUUCAAGAUGAAUUGUAGAUUGAAUACCUUUGAUCUUCAAUGUUUUUGAAAUAUGCGGCUUUUUUGUAAGCUCUAAAUGUAAAUAUUUGAGAUAUCAAUAUACAUAGAGUUUAGUUGUCCUUGCA